UCAUCGUCAUCAUCUGCACGAUUAAACUCUCUUUUUCUAUAAAUGAUAUCUCUCAUUGUAAUCAUUAUUAUUAUCUUUGAUAUUCUAUUCUUCACAAAUUACAGGGUUUCAAUUUUCUUACUUUAAGGCUUUUAUUCCUCGAUUUUUCUUACAAUAUUAAAUUAUAUUCUUAAGAAACCAAUCUCAUGAUAACAAUUUUAUUAAAUGGUGAGAAAUGAUGUGAAUUAGGUAGUUUUGAAUUCAUUUUAAUGAGAAUUUUUGGUAUUGCCGAGAAGCCAGCCGUGAAAACAAGCGAUGCCAUUAAAGACUACCAUUAAUGAGAAUUUUAAAUGCGGAAGACAAAGGUUUUAUAAGAGGGACUUUGGCGAAGCCUCGGGUCAGCUAAUAAAUUUGAGCAAAUCAGACUAUGCAAAUCAUCAAGAGUUUAAUUAUCAAAGGCAGUGGAGUAGUGGAUGCUCCCAUCUGGUCCUUAACUGACAAAGUGAAGGUGACGAAUCUCUUUCUCAUUUGUUUAUGGAAUGCAACUUCGCAAAACAGGCAAUACCAUUGAAGCUAGGGGAUAGUGGGAAAAUUGUAACACACGAAAACAGUUAGAAGAAGUAGGGGCUAAGGCAGCUUUCCAAUGGGCUUCAGAAUGGAGUGGCUACAAUGUGAUAUUCCAAAGUGACUCUAAGCCAAUACUCUUGUUGGUGAUAGAAAUGUACGCCAAAGCAAGGGAAAGAAGAUAUGAACAAAGCACCAACUUUGGGAGAAACUAUUAUUUUGAUAUCAACUUUAAAGCUUUAGCUUAUGUUUUACUUAGUAGAUAUGAUCUUAGAUAUCUCGUAAACCUUUCAGUUUUUUGUAAUAGGUUUUCCAUCCAACAUAGAUGGACAAACGAAAACCUAAAAGCUAUUAUGACAUUUCUAGAUAUUUACAGAUGGAAUGUCACCGUAACUGAUACUCUUCCCUACCUGAGGAGAAGAGUAGGUUCUAUAAAUGUACGAGGA